AAGCGGCACUGCUCUUUAACAAUUUAUCAGACAAUCUGUGUGGGCACUCGAAGAUACGGAUUCUUAACGUCGCAAGACCGCCCUUUCACGGCGGUAACAGGGGUUCGAAUCCCCUAGGGGACGCCA
rnacentral:tRNA from 1 species